rnacentral:piRNA from 1 species
UGCAAUGUUGUCGGCGGGUCAGGAGAGU